AUUCAUACAAGUUGUUUACAGAGAUUCCAAUGUAACCAGGGAAACUAAAUGCGACUGUGAGAGAGGCAACUUCUUCUUUUUAAUGACUUCUCUGUUUUUUUUUUUUUCUUUAAGGUAAAGUAAACAGUCAAUUCAAAUACAGUAGAGUAAUUGGUUUUUUACCUGAUGGAAUAAAGUCAAACUCAUGUAUAGUGCCAUCGGGAUACUGGUAACAAGCAAAGAGAAGUCUGAAAUUCUUAUUUUUGAGUCCACAUGAUGAUAUGAUUCUUUCUAGGGACUUGCACUUUCAUGAUUAAAAGAUGAACCAGAUGCUUCCAUUUGAGCUACCUACAGAAUAUCUACGCUAUGUAUGGGGCAGCACAUGUAUCAUAAAACCUAUCAUUCAUAAUCAAAGCAAAUGACAUGUAAUUCUUGAUCAAAAGAUGUUCAUUUGCUCUUUUGAAGUUUUCAACAACGGACGUACAUCAAUAUUACCUGAAUUCUUUGUGGCCGAGUGAAACCGAGGACCAAAGACCCAUUUGGGACAAAAGACCUAACAGAAUAAGCAUGUAAGCGCAAUGAAAUUUUGAAAACAAAAAACAUUAAACAUACUAGGCCACUAGUAUAUCCCCAUGAUGGUAACUACAGUUCCAAAUAGAGAUGCGGACCAACUUGAAACACUUCCUGCACACGGAGCAUCUGAGAGUUUAAACAAAUAGAGAUCACCAAGAGCUCACAAUACGUUUUGCAGGAGAUGUGGAGUUUUGUUCUGCAAAGAAAGGGAGAGGUUAUAACAGAGUCCAACAGUGCAAAAUGAAGUAAUGGAACAAUUUGUUUGGAAAAUUCAAUUUAAGAAUGGAGCUGAAAGAAGACACAACACGAGGGAGGAUAUAAUUCCAAAAACCAAGAACCCGUACUCAUGUGUGUCAAACAAACCUUUUAACAAAAACCAAACCCUUAGUUGACUGGCAUAAACAAUUCUUUCUACCUUAAUCGGAAGAGGUGAGAGCUAGAAUUGCAAAAAAAAAUCAAGUCAAAUGGAGAGUCAAAGACAACCUACACUAGUCCAUAUAAGCGAAUUAGGAAAUCACUGGAAUUUCAAUAAACUCACAUUCUGGAGAAAUCUAAACUCAAAAUCUUCUUAUUCGACCAAAAAAGCUUACAUCGUUAAAAAGUAACAAAACGUUGUUUACAUCCCAGUACAGAAAAUACUGACCAUUACCUAGGGAGUAUCAUCAAGGCCCUGUCACAUGAAAGACUUUAUACAAGAAUGCGUAUAAUAUGGAAUGUGAAAAUAGCUUUGUAUUUCUAUAUCCUAUUCCCAUGUCAAAUGCAUGUACCUAUCAUAUGAUCAACCAAGAAACAAUCUUAAGAAAUGCAAGAAUGAAACGUGAGACAGAGCAAGAAUAUCUACCUCAGAUAUACUUCGACCUGAUUUGGAAGAGCCAGUAUCCGAGUCCUGAUAGCCGUCGGCAUUCUUCUGCUUCCUAGUUGCAAUUGAAGACGAGGCAGUCCAAAAAUGAGUUGAGGUUGAGCAGUUCUGGGAUUAAACAUUUUUACCAUGUUAUAGGUAAAUUAACUGCUUAGCUAUCAGUAUUGCGGUUCAACGCAAAUCCGUCCUUAAAGCUAUGCCAUAAAAAAUAAAUCCUAGCACUGGUAAUAUAAUCAUGGGAUGACACAAAAAAGGAUUGCAAACUAAGAUUUUUUGAAGGAAAAACAUCAGCUUCCUUGGAAACGAAACAGAUGAACAAAGCGUCGUUAUUGAUAAAGAAUAUAGAGGAAAGCCUUAAUACGACUAUUUUAUUUCUCAGAGGAAUUUCAACGAACACCUAAUACGCAGAAAUUCUAUACACAGUUACCCUAAAAAUUGAGACUUUAAAAAAAAAAAAAAAACGAAUUCUAGCUGUAUCUCAAUGCAGAGGAACCGAAAAAAUUUGAAAUCCACUGCAAAUUGGACAAAGAAACGAAGCAACAAGUCUCUCAGAAUCCAAGACAAAUCAAUUUCCUAAGUUUCAGUCGGUACGCCACAUACCUUACCUUAUCGGACCCCGGAGGAUAAGAAGAAGAGGAAGUUGUCACAUAUUUAGGAGCCGGGGAGCUGUGACGAGUUUCGCCGGCGUUCAGAGGACAAAUCGUUUGACAAGAUGACAAAUUAGAUAUAAGGAAAAGGGCGCCAUCAUCAUACAACGCAUUUAAUAUUAUUAUAGAUUUUGAGUAAAAAAAAAAAGAAAAGGAAAACGAAUAUAAUAUAAUAAUAUUGAAAGUAAAAUAAAAGAGUAAAACGCAAUAAUAAUCUUAAACCC
rnacentral:lncRNA from 1 species